UCUCUCUCCCUCUCUCCCUCUCUCCCUCUCUCUUCCAAAGUCAAAAGAAACACCCAUUGAUUUCCCCGUGUUCUCUUUACUCGGCAAGUUUGAGAGACAGGAAUAUAGGACCCCCACCCCUCCAGGAGACUAUCUCUGAACCGCGAUCCUUACUUCCCCGUCCCUCUUCCCUACCGCCACCACCCCUACCUCUGCUGCCUCCACCAAAUCCCAUAACCUCAUCCAAGCAAGAACUUCAUAGCGAUCCGGUAGAUGUGCAGGUUCAUUAGAGAGAUGCUUGUUGGUGGAAGAAACCUCAUCUUUGAAGCCAAUGGAGAUUCCAUUAACGUUUACCACAAUUGGAACCCUAAAUUCUCUAAUAAAGCCCCUCGGUUCAAUAUCCAGCAGGAUCGGACGGGGAAUAAAUACUUCUUCAGAUCUGAAUAGGUUGAUAGAGAAUUAGGCGAGAUAUCAGAUGCUAGACACUUAUGCUUCACUGUUUCAUCUCCUCCCCACUUUCCGGCAGACCAGUUCGAGUGGCUGCGAUGAUGUUCACAAAAGACGCCUCUACUACAGAUCUUUACUCAUCUCUCUUUUUACCUGUUCCUCUGGCCAAGCAUAAUACAUCACAUCAGAUUUAGAAAUUGUAUAUGUGUACUCCAACAAUGAAUACAGGUAAUGACGAUCUCUCUCUUUGUUCUUGAUAAUGGCCCACGAGCAUGUUUCCUCUCUUGGUUUGUAUUUGUUCAGAUUGAUGUGCGAGUGCACAAUGGGUUAUGUUUUAGAUCAUGUGCAAGAAUAUUUCUUAGAUCUAAACGUGAUUUAUAUGAUUGUUAAACUACCUUUAACCUUUUGAAUUUGAUUCAUUCUUAUCACUGGUACAACGUAGAUUAAAUUUUUUUUUCCAAGUUUCACAUACUAACUGAGUUUUAUGAUGGUAACCGAAGUUAGCGAAAACAUCUCGCAGGACACAUUAAGGGUCGCAUGAAGCCCCAAUUUAAUCCCAAAAGUAGAGCAGAAAAAUUGCUUUCAAUUUGUCAAGGCACUCUUGACUUUUGCAAGAAACAAUUUUUUCCGUGUGUACUCAAUCUAAUUGCAAAGUAGUUUCCUCUUAGAUUUAAUCUAAUCUUGUUUGCUUUCUUUAUGUUUCUAAAAUAAUAUGUUUGUCUUUGUUAUUUUUCCUUCUAACUUGUAAAGGAAUAUUAGUACGUCUUUUGAAAGACAGAUGAGUAUUGGUGGUGCGACAGUAGUACAGUAUAGGAUUCUCAAAGCCUGGUUACAGAGUAAAUGGACUCCAGCUUUCAGCUAACCCUUUCAGUUUUCACCUUUCUUUUGAAGGAGUCAAAAGACCAAGGGGUAGGUUGAAAAUGACUUGGUAAUAAGCACUGAGAAAAGUUUUUGAUGGAUUUAACAUGGCUUUACUGCUAUCCCAUUUUCUAAGCAAGUAUGCCUCAGAGUAAGGAUGAGUUGAAGAAGAAUUGUUGUGAUUGAUUGAUAAUACGCUUGUGCAAUUUUUUUUCUCUCUGUCAGAUGCACGUUGACUAAUCAAACUCUUUGUACCAUGACUAAAUCUUAAUUUCUGUUUUUUAUGGACAUCACCUCAAAUAUCCUACCAAAGAUAACCCAAGACCUUCAUCUUCUCUCUCUCUCUCACACACACACACACACACACACACACACUCAGUUAAUGUUUUUGCUUUUAACCUUGUUGUUUCUCUUAAACUUCAUUGCAAUGCAUGAUAAUUUCAAUUUGGUGCUUUGUUAAUAGGUAUAUAUAUACUUUUAUAUCUAUUUUUUGAUUUAUUGAUGAGUAUUCUUAUUUUAAUAUCCAUUUUUCGAUGAACAUGUGGAAUAUCUCUAUUUCUGUUCAGCUAACUUGUUUCAUCUUAUAUGAUUUCUAAACAUUUAGUGGGUGGAUAUUGAAUGUUCAUUUAUAUGACCACGAAAAAUGCAAAAGAUUCUUUGGUUUUCAAACAUUUUUCUUGCUCUACAUGUAAGUGAGAAAAUAGCGUAAAAAAGUCCAAAACAGUUUUACUACUUUGAAGUCGAACAACUGGAAAUGUAUCUGGAAGCCACCUAAUUCUUUUUAUAAUUUUGCUUUAUGUCAUUGAUUAGUUUGUUAUUUAUUUGAUGGAUUUACUCCUUGCCUUAUCCCCCCCUUCUUUUCUCAUUUGUAUUUAUUUUUGUCGGGCAUGGUUUCAUUUAUAAGCACUAUUUUGACCUGGAAAAAAUUAGCAAGUUUACUCAAUCAUUGAAUGGCUGAUCUGGUUUUCAAAAGUAUGAGAACAAACGUAUAUUAGAAUACAUUAAUUUUUCAAAAAUGUUGAGAAGGAAAAUGGGGCACUUGAUGACCUCGAUUGCAAACAUCUCCAGUGACAUUCCCUGUAGAAACCUAUCACCACCACCUCGACUCCAUUGCUUUCUCUUUGAUUUUCUGACACAACAAAUUUUCAUAUUUUGUGACAAAACCAUUUCUCUUUCUAACCCAAAAACUAAUUUAGGAUUCCUUAAUGUGAAAACGCAAUAAUGGUCUUUGAGAAUCCAUAUCAAAGAGUGUUUAAAGAAGAAAUUCACAAAGCUUUGCUGGUACUAUAUACAUACAAUUUCUAUUCUGAAAGGUAACAUGUUUCACAUGCCUGUGACAUCAUAGUCUCUUCUUGGUAUCAUUCUUUUAAUCCUACAUUGAAACAUAUGCUUUCUGGAUAAUGAUUUGCAUGUGUAAUUGUUAGAAUGAAAACUUAGAAGAUGGAAAAUGAAAAAAGGGACGAUAUGACAGACCUGAACGGUAUUGUUGGCAAUGCACGAAAGGGAUAUGUCUAAGAUAAGGCUUGAAGUUAGAUUGGAUGAUGUUGCAUACCUGGAUGAGUCGAAAUGAUUUUUGGAAAUGGUUGUUGUCCUUUCCUUUUGGAUGGAUGUCUGCGUAUUUCUAGGUAUGUGCAUAUUCGUUGGAGUCUUCUAAAUAUUCAUCUCUUCAAGUGCCAAGUGUGAGUCAAAGUCUCGCGUCAUUCGGAUUACUCUAUUUUUCUCUCUCUCUCUCCCCCCUCCUAGGAGAUUCUAAGGCUAAUUCAAGGAUUUACAGAGCAUAAAAAUGUGAUUCAGCAUUGUCCCAAGUUCAUUGGCAUCCAAUCAAUAGUUGCCUCUUCUAAAGUUGGGUGCAAUUCUGUAGAACAAAUCUUGGGUUAACCUAUUAAAAAAAAUCUUGGGUUAUGAAAAAUAUGUUGAUGAAAACUUGAUGGGCCUGUAGGAUUAUGCGUGUAUGUUUGCUCCACCAUCUUUUAUAUAUAUGUAGCACCUUCAAAUACUUCUAUGAUAUCAUUUGAAAGUAAAACUUAAUUCUAAAAUUUAGGCUUUUGUCAUUAGUUGGAAUUUAAAUAAGGCAUAAUCAUAUAGUGGAUGAGGAGGUUAUUCUUUGAAACAGAUUGAGUAUUAUAAAAAUUUUGGAAUAGUAAAUUUUAGUAUUUUACAUCUAAGGAUAAUUCUUUCAUACAUUUGGAUUGUUAUAGACAUUUACUUUGGCAAUCUUUGCCACUUAAUGCUCACACGUGCAUUUGCACAUGCGAGUUUAUUAGUAUAUAUAUAUAUAAUAUUCAUAGAAUAUAUUCUAUCCCAUCCAUUUUAUUUUAUACCUCAAUUAUUUCUUCUAAGGAACACGCUUUAGUUUAACACUUAUUUAUACAAAAAGGGACAACUGAAAUAAUAAAAAAAACAUCACGCAUAUACAUAAUAUAUAUAUAUAUAUAUCAUACUAAUAUCUAAGUUCACGUACUUAUGCUUCAUGGCUAAUCUUUUGUUGAACUACUUAAUCCUUCUCGUUCUUCUUGUUUAUUUAAGUUUCUUAAAUUUCAUAUUUUUUAUUUUGUCAUUUUUGGGUACACUUAGUUUUUUUUUUUUUUUUAAUUAGAACAUAUUUUCUAAAUUCUCUCUCCUCACUUUCCUAAUUUGGUUUAAUUUUUUUAAACAAAUAUUUCCUUUAUUUGUCUCACAUCCUCCACUCUCAUUGUCCUCCUCACACUUUAUAUCAUCUAUAUGUUUAUACCAAAAAGAAGAAAAUCUACAUUUUCUAUAUUCUCUCUUCAGCUGCUUUUCUAAUUUCGUUUAGCGUUUUUUUCCCCUUAAUGAAACUAAUUUCGUUUGAUUUCUUUAUCAACAGUAAGUCUUUUGUUUCUUUCCGAAUUUAUGAUGUAACACUCCUUUUUCUUCUCUUCUUUAUCAAUAAUGAAUCUUUUAUUUAUUUUCCAAAUUUAAGAUAUGUGAUAUCCUUUCUAUAAUCACACACACACACACACACACUCUUUCUCUAUAUAUCGGCUCUCCUCCUUCUCUAUUUAUUUCUCUUUCACUCUCACAGAAAAAUAUUCAUUGAGAUCAGAAAAUUUCUUACUCCUUAUCGGUAGGACUUUCCUUCACAGAGACCCAAACCACAAGCAGCAUCAUUUACUAGAUCACUAUGCCACCAAAAUAUAUAGCAACUGACACUCAACAUCAAAGAUACAAUGCAAAUAAAAGGACUAUUGGAGGAAUCCUGCAUACAAAUGGUUGAUUGACAUUUAAUUGCUCUGCGACCUGAUAAAUACUCAGACGUGCAUUUGCAUGUGUCAGUUUUACUAGUGUAUAUAUAUAUAUAUAGAGAGAGAGAGAGAGAGAGCAAUAUGAUUAUGAACAUAACCUAAAAUACUUCAUGUUCUCUCACUUUGUCUCCGCAAAUAAUCCAAACAAAAACAGAAGAAACCCGUAAGAAAAUAAGAAAUGAGUACAGAAGAGUACUAUCUUCUCACAUAUCUGACGAUUUGGAACCCUUGCCCCCAAAGGAAAUCAAAUCUACAUAUCUAUUACAAUACACAUAACUAGAAAUUAGGGUUUAAUAUGAAACCGACUGCAUUAGAAUCCUUAAUCAUGCCCUAAUCCAUGGUAGGGAUAGGGAAAAUAACCCUGCAAGGUAGUGGGGCCCACAAAGGAAAAUACAAAUUUCUGGGCAUUCUGCCACUGAAACCUGUUGGCCGGUUAGCCAGGGGCUAUCCCACCGAUUGUCUGUUGUGGACUUCCCUACUAACUUACCUUCUACCUAGAGUAUUCCACCUUAUGUGGGACCUUUCCCACACAUGUAAGCCACCCUAGAUCUAUUAUACAUUCAUCUCUCUUGCCUGUCUCCAUAUUCACACAACUGUAUCCACCUGUGCAUAGCUGUUCAGCUAUGCAUCUACACUCUCUGCUUCUACUUUUACCCCUUUAUCUUGCUCAACUAAAUUCCACCUCUAAAACUGAGGGGUUUUAAAUCCAUGGUGUUACAAUUUCUCCUCUCCAUCAAAAAAUUUCGUCCUCAAAAUUUGUGAGGAUGUUAACUCCCAAAACCUUCUUUAAUUCCUAUACCAUAACUCUUUCUACAAGUCAGAUCAUAUAGAUUGCAUUAUGUACAAUACUUAUCAUCAUUGAAUUCAUCAAUAGUUAUUUAUUUAUAUCUCAGAAAUCAAAACCUCUUUAGUCUUAUGAUUCGUCUAUUCUCAUCAUAUAAUUUUUUUUUCUAGCAUACUCUCUAUCCACAAUGGUCCCUACAAUUACACCUUGUUAUACUCAAUAGCUAUAUGAAUCCUCAACAUUUACUUUUGGUUUUAUGAAAUCUAUCAAUGUAGUUUGUGCCUUAUUUUCUUCAAUCCAGUUGCACUUCACACAAUCAUUUAUCGUACAUUAUCCUACUAUCAUAUAUACCUCAAAUAAUAUGGAAUUCAAAUUUCCACAAAGAUCUUUCAGGUUUCAAUAGUACUAUACCAGUCCAAUUCAGUACUUCAGUAAACCACUAUAUACUAAAUCCAUUAUCACCAAAUUGUAAGUGUUACUCCAUCCAGUUAUAUUUUAUAAAGAGUUCAUAAAGUCCAUCUUUUUAGGGUUCUUGAUGUAUGUGUAUACUGCUUCCCUUUGUCUCUGAUUUUCUUCCUGAGCUUUGGUUCCUAAUUUACAUUCAAUUACAGAAUCUACUUCCUCACCUAUCAAUUGAUAAAUGCAUGAUUCCAUGUAUACCACAAUAUUAAAAUUUACAUUGUUGGAAUCACAUCUCCAUAUGUUAUGUUAGGAUUUAAUCGUCCUCCUAGUUCCACUCGAUAUCCAUUUAAUAAGUUUCUAUCCGAUUGCACAUAUCCAAUACUAACCAACAAUUAGUAUUUUGUCACCUUUCCUCACAUUUACCUCUAGGUUUACCAUUCAUUCCAUUUCUUUAGAUCAAUUCUUGCGUUUCUAUCAUAUUAUCAUUCCACAAUGCAAAUUUUCAAUUUCUUUUAUUUAGAAUAGUGUACAUCAGCAUUCUGUUCCUCUCCUAUGGUUCUCUUUAGUCCCUCAUUUCAUUAACUGCACAUACCUACAAUAGUCUAUAUUAAGAUGCCAAUACCCCAUUUAGGCCAUACUUAAUGUAUAAUGAAAAUCUCAAACUCAGCAGGCAAUUCUGGCUAGACCGGCGGGAUACAACUGGCGGGUAAGGUCCACGACCGGCCGGCCAGUUCGCCUAAAUUUACAGUUACUUAAUAGUACCUGAGAGCAUUUUAACUCAUUCCUAAAGUUUCAUUUCUCCCUCCAGAGGUGCCGGUCUACCGCCAAAUUCAGAUCUAAGGCUCUCCAAUCUAUUUUCUGCCAAAUUCCAUACAAUGCAUCAUCCCAGGACUUAUGGCUUCGGGAAGGUAUACCUAAAGCAAAUUUGCUACCAUUCCGUUAAGGCACAUGGCUAGGGAGGAAGGUUUCAAUAAUAUUUGGUUCUGAACCCCUACGGAUCAAGACAAUUGGUCCCACUUCGUGUCCCGAGCUAUGAUAGUUGAGCGACCCAUUAUCACACACGACCUUCAAGCCUUCAAGGUAAAAGAGUUUUGAGGCCUUGGGUUGGGAAGCCAUGCUAAAAGUAGAGGAAGAGGUGUACCCUAGGCUAGUCCGAGCUUUUUAUUGUAAUUUGACCGGGAAACAUCUUAGCAGCAGGGAUUAUAAUAUUGUUAGCCGAGUAGGUGGCAAAGACAUAUCCCUUACCAUAGCCGAAUUUGGAGCUUUCAUUGGGGUGUCGAGUGAGGGGAACAAGACCUAUUGCCCUCCUAGGACUAGUUCUCGGGGCUUCUUCACUAAUACCGAAAAAGAUUUUGAUUAAGGCUAUAGUAAUUGAGGGUGGUGAGGCCAGCUUGGCCCUAAUAGCUACCUGGAGACCUUCUCCUAGGGUAUUGUGCAGGAUUGUGAAAUACAAUCUUCUCCCUAUUAGUGGCCAGUUCAGUGAGGUGUCCUUAAUGCAGGCUUACACUGCUUCAUGUCUCUAUCUGGGAGAGCAGAUUAGCCUGCCCUAUCUGAUGCUGAGAUGCAUGGUGCAUCAGGCCUAUCACCCUAGUGAUGGUCAUUUGUUCUGUAGUGAAAUUUUGACCAAGGUGUUCAAGCACAUGAGAAUCUGCUUAGAGGGAGAAGAGGAGUCCCAUACCAUACCAUUUGAUAGAGCCAUCUUGGAGAAGAGGCAACUUCACGAGUAUGCAGGCAGUGAUGAGGAGGAGGUACCUACAGCCAAGGAUGAUCAAGAGAAUCAGGAGGAUGAUGAGCUGCACAUGAGUGAGGAUGAGCAGCAUGAGGAGGAGGAGAUAAAGCAUGAGGUGCGUGAGGAGCAUGAGGGGGAGAUACCUCAUAAAGAUGAGGAGCAGCAGGAGGAUCCCCUUAGAGACUUCCAUAUCAGUGAUGUGGAUAUGGGUCUCAAUGGAUUCACUAUCGAGGAGAUUGAGGGUCUAGGGGUAUAGUCUCCCCAUGUCCCAGAGGAGAGCACUUAUGGUACUGCCCCUACUGAGGAGAUUCCACGUUCCACCCACAUACCUUCUCAGACUCAGUUUAUGGCUGCUCCAGGGUCUACCCAGCCCACUACUCAUAGUGGAGACAGUACUGGACUUCAUGGAGAGAGGCUUCACUCGAGUCCACAUCAGCUUAGAGGCUCUGAGCUCGAGAGUAGAGAUUGUGGAGUCUGCUUUAGACGUAUGGGCGGAGUGUUUACACAUCCCCCCAAACUUCAGGCUUCCCCGCUACUGAUCCUUAGCUCAGUGGGCUUCUUCCUCAUUUAGUCAUCAGUGACAGUCCCAACAGUAGAGUUCAGCUCCUUCUAUACUAGCUGAUCAGAUUUCUUUUGUUUCAGCCUCUUUUUGUAAUCCAAAUCACUUAUUUCUUUCGAUUCUGUUUGCUUUCUAUGUUUUUCUCUAUUUCAUUUGUCACAUACUUGUAUAUUUUAUCUUUUGUCUUUUAUUGUAUUACCUAUUAAUCACCA